rnacentral:rRNA from 1 species
UACGUAGGGUGCGAGCGUUAAUCGGAAUUACUGGGCGUAAAGUGUGCGCAGGCGGUCUCUUAAGACAGGUGUGAAAUCCCCCGGGCUUAACCUGGGAACUGCGCUUGUAACUGAGAGGCUUGAGUGUGCCAGAGGGGGGGUGGAAUUCCACGUGUAGCAGUGAAAUGCGUAGAUAUCAAGUGGAACACCAGUGGCGAAGGCGAGUCCCUGGACAUCUCCUGACACUGAGGCACGAAAGCUAGGGGAGCAAACAGG